GUGGUAAUGCCGGAUGUUCCACAUGAGCGCAUGCGAGUGUGGGAAAGGCUUUUUGCGGCAUGGGAUGGGGUCGCGUCCUAUCAGCUUGUUGGUGGGGUAACGGCCUACCAAGGCGUUGACGGGUAGCCGGCCUGAGAGGGCGACCGGCCACAUUGGGACUGAGAUACGGCCCAGACUCCUACGGGAGGCAGCAGUGGGGAAUAUUGCACAAUGGGCGCAAGCCUGAUGCAGCGACGCCGCGUGCGGGAUGGAGGCCUUCGGGUUGUAAACCGCUUUUGUUCAAGGGCAAGGCACGGUCUUUGGCCGUGUUGAGUGGAUUGUUCGAAUAAGCACCGGCUAACUACGUGCCAGCAGCCGCGGUAAUACGUAGGGUGCAAGCGUUAUCCGGAUUUAUUGGGCGUAAAGGGCUCGUAGGCGGUUCGUCGCGUCCGGUGUGAAAGUCCAUCGCUUAACGGUGGAUCCGCGCCGGGUACGGGCGGGCUUGAGUGCGGUAGGGGAGACUGGAAUUCCCGGUGUAACGGUGGAAUGUGUAGAUAU
rnacentral:rRNA from 1 species